GGAGAGAUGGCUGAGUGGUUUAAAGCAAUUGACUCGAAAUCAAUCGUAGGAGAAAUUCCUUCUACCGAGGGUUCAAAUCCCUCUCUCUCUGCCA
rnacentral:tRNA from 5 species